rnacentral:lncRNA from 1 species
GACUGCACAAGGCUUUGGUACAGCUGUGACCCUCUUCAUCCUCUCCUGACCCCCUAGCUGACCCUCGUCCUCAGACCUCUGCAGAACUUUGACCAAGUGGUGGUGGAGGAGUUCCGGUGGGUCUGGGGUGGUCCUGGGUGACCCAGAGCUCAGACCUGGGUUCUGGGGAUGAGGGCAGGAGGCUGGAAGAGAUGACCUCCCCUAGCCCCCCAGGCUAUCCAGGACCCUGAAGUCUGCAAUGACCCUCCCACCAGGCUGGACCCACUGACCACCAGAAUGGGAGCCACCUUCUUCAGGGAGGCACCAGCCCAGGCCCUCGUGUGGGACCACGUGCGCCAGGGUCUGCAUGCCCUGUGGGAGGCAGAGGGCCUCUUGGCAGAGAUGGUCAUUCCAGACUUCGGCACGCCUAGCCUCACAGCCUCCAGACUGCUGGACGCUUUCUUCCCUGGCUAUGCCGUGGCUCUCCUCAUCCUGGGCCUCCUGCUCCUUACCCUUGCCCUUGUCCUGGUGCUAAAGUGGAGGGCGUGCCUCGGGGUGUCCAGCCUGGGGCAUAGAAGCGCACAGUGCAGUACGGAGGACGCUCUCCAGACAGGCGGCCCCUCACGCUGCUGCUCCCUCUGCUGAAACCCCAACUCCAAACCUCUCCUCUCCCGUCCUUCACCUCGCCCCAUGGCUUCCAGACAGCGCCUCAACCCUGAGGAAUGAAUCUGGAGUUCCAACACUGCUGCCUUUCCCAGGAACUCAGCCAGCGAGGGCCAGGUACCGGUCCGAGGUCACACAGCCAGGGGCUUCUUCUCUCCUAAGUCCCCAAGGACUGGACCUGCAGUGCUGGGACAGAGGCGGGAUGGGGAAGCCGUGCCUUGUCAACCCACGCAGGGAGGCUGCUGCCAUCCCCAAGGUGCAUAAAGCGGAGGACACCCCUGCUUCCCCGUCCAUGCUCAUUCAGGGCCCUGCUCCAGUGCUC